GUUGCUAUUUACCUAUCACGGAUCGCGUUAUCAAACACUGCAUUGCUGUGUCUCAAUCGAGAUUUCUCGUUUUCCCAACAAUUAACGAAAGAAUUUCGUGUCCACGGCCGUGGUUAACGGUUAUAAUUGCGCCGAUUCCUGCUAUUUCACGUACUGCACUGCCUCCAUACGGUCAUAGCACAUAUAUAACAAGUGGAUUUGGUGCAUGGUAUCACAAUGCGAUAGACUUUUAAUCAUGUGUUUUUCUCAAGUGGCCAUUUGAAGGCACAAACACAAUAGCGCGUUUUUUAAAAGUUCAAUUAUUCGCAAAAGCAUCAAGCUACCUGGAUGAUUCUAUCAAAAAUGAAUUCAUUAUUAAAUAUCACAUGAGGAAUAUGCUAGCAGGAUGUUGCAUUACUGUAUUACUUUGUAUUAAUUAGUAAUAACUUAAUAUUAAGGAAAGGAGUUUCAACAGGUUGGCAUAAUAAAGUUGCUUGCAUAAAGUUUAAAAUAUUUCAACUUAUUUUAAAACUGUAAAUAAA